rnacentral:rRNA from 1 species
CAAGUCGAGGGGCAUCAGUUUGGUUUGCUUGCAAACCAAAGCUGGCGACCGGCGCACGGGUGAGUAACACGUAUCCAACCUGCCUCAUACUCGGGGAUAGCCUUUCGAAAGAAAGAUUAAUAUCCGAUAGCAUAUAUUUCCCGCAUGGGUUUUAUAUUAAAGAAAUUCGGUAUGAGAUGGGGAUGCGUUCCAUUAGUUUGUUGGCGGGGUAACGGCCCACCAAGACUACGAUGGAUAGGGGUUCUGAGAGGAAGGUCCCCCACAUUGGAACUGAGACACGGUCCAAACUCCUACGGGAGGCAGCAGUGAGGAAUAUUGGUCAAUGGACGCGAGUCUGAACCAGCCAAGUAGCGUGAAGGAUGACUGCCCUAUGGGUUGUAAACUUCUUUUAUAUGGGAAUAAAGUGGUCCACGUGUGGAUUUUUGUAUGUACCAUAUGAAUAAGGAUCGGCUAACUCCGUGCCAGCAGCCGCGGUAAUACGGGGGAUCCGAGCGUUAUCCGGAUUUAUUGGGUUUAAAGGGAGCGUAGGCGGAUUGUUAAGUCAGUUGUGAAAGUUUGCGGCUCAACCGUAAAAUUGCAGUUGAUACUGGCAGUCUUGAGUGCAGUAGAGGUGGGCGGAAU